rnacentral:rRNA from 1 species
UACAGAGGGGGCAAGCGUUGUUCGGAAUUAUUGGGCGUAAAGAGCUUGUAGCCGGUUUGUCGCGUCUGCUGUGAAAAUCCGGGGCUCAACCCCGGACUUGCAGUGGGUACGGGCAGACUGGAGUGUGGUAGGGGAGACUGGAAUUCCUGGUGUAGCGGUGGAAUGCGCAGAUAUCAGGAGGAACACCGAUGGCGAAAGCAGCUCUCUGGGACGGUACUGACGCUGAGGCGCGAAAGCGUGGGGAGCGAACAGG